CUGUGGGGGCCAGUGAGCUGCGUGACCUGUAUUUGAAAACUGAAAACUAUCUGGGAGGAGAGUACUUUGCUCGGAUGGUCAAGGUGAGUGAACCCUCAGUCUCUCUAAG
ensembl:miRNA